GACGAACGCUGGCGGCGUGCUUAACACAUGCGAGUCGAACGGAAAGGCCCUGCUUUUGUGGGGUGCUCGAGUGGCGAACGGGUGAGUAACACGUGAGUAACCUGCCCUUGACUUUGGGAUAACUUCAGGAAACUGGGGCUAAUACCGGAUAGGAGCUCCUGCUGCAUGGUGGGGGUUGGAAAGUUUCGGCGGUUGGGGAUGGACUCGCGGCUUAUCAGCUUGUUGGUGGGGUAGUGGCUUACCAAGGCUUUGACGGGUAGCCGGCCUGAGAGGGUGACCGGCCACAUUGGGACUGAGAUACGGCCCAGACUCCUACGGGAGGCAGCAGUGGGGAAUAUUGCACAAUGGGCGGAAGCCUGAUGCAGCAACGCCGCGUGCGUGAUGACGGCCUUCGGGUUGUAAACCGCUUUCGCCUGUGACGAAGCGUGAGUGACGGUAAUGGGUAAAGAAGCACCGGCUAACUACGUG
rnacentral:rRNA from 1 species